rnacentral:rRNA from 1 species
UACGUAGGUGGCAAGCGUUGUCCGGAUUUACUGGGUGUAAAGGGUGCGCAGGCGGAUCUGUAAGUCAGGGGUGAAAUCUCACAGCUUAACUGUGAAACUGCCUUUGAUACUGCGGAUCUUGAGUUCGGGAGAGGUUGAUGGAAUUCCAGGUGUAGCGGUGAAAUUCGUAGAUAUUCGGCGGAACACCAGUGGCGAAGGC